UGGGAUUUUUUGCACUUCAGGUGGUUUUGGAGGUUGUUUUGGUGGGAUUUUUUGCACUUUUUGUGCUUUUUUUUGACUUUUGACUCCCCCUCAACCCCAUCCCAACCACCUCCGCGUUGAGUCGCAUCUACGAUUUCCCCCACCUCAGGAAGCGUCGCGUGAUGUUGGUUGGUGUUGUUUGCUUCCCCCCUCCCACCCAACGAACCCCCCCUCCCAAAUUUAACCAAAACCCUCAAAAAUCACCCCAAAAACUCCUUCUUCUCCUCCUUAACCACGGAGCCCACGUUCGACUCGGUGCAGAGCGCCCAACGGGCCAAGGCCUCCCUCAACGGCGCCGACAUCUACUCGGGGUGCUGCACCCUAAAAAUCGAGUAUGCCAAGCCCACGCGUCUCAACGUCUUCAAGAACGACCAAGACACUUGGGAUUACACCAACCCCAACCUCAGCGGACAAGGGGUCGCAGUGUAUGUUUGAUGGGGCCGCCAAUCUUUCAGAACUUGUGCUAACUCUUGAAGCCACGCGCCGGUAAGAGCCAAAAACGCCUUUUUUUUGCCCAAAAAAAACC